rnacentral:rRNA from 1 species
GAUGAACGCUGGCGGCGUGCCUAACACAUGCAAGUUGAGCGAUCUUCUUCGGAAGAGAGCGGCGGACGGGUGAGUAACGCGUGGGUAACCUGCCUCAUACACAUGGAUAACAUACCGAAAGGUAUGCUAAUACAAGAUGAUAUAAGAGACUCGCAUGGAUUUCUUAUCAAAGCUUUUGCGGUAUGAGAUGGACCCGCGUCUGAUUAGCUAGUUGGUAAGGUAAUGGCUUACCAAGGCGACGAUCAGUAGCCGACCUGAGAGGGUGAUCGGCCACAUUGGAACUGAGACACGGUCCAAACUCCUACGGGAGGCAGCAGUGGGGAAUAUUGCACAAUGGGCGAAAGCCUGAUGCAGCAACGCCGCGUGAGCGAUGAAGGCCUUCGGGUCGUAAAGCUCUGUCCUCAAGGAAGAUAAUGACGGUACUUGAGGAGGAAGCCCCGGCUAACUACGUGCCAGCCGCCGCCGUAACAC